UCGGGAAUCGUCUAAUGGCAGGACAACGGAUUCUGAUUCCGUUUAUCUAGGUUCGAAUCCUAGUUCCCGAA
rnacentral:tRNA from 1 species